rnacentral:rRNA from 1 species
UACGGGGGGGGCGAGCGUUGUUCGGAAUCACUGGGCGUAAAGGGCGCGUAGGCGGCCCGCACAAGUCUGCGGUGAAAACCCCCGGCUUAACCGGGGGCCGGCCGUGGAAACUGUCGGGCUGGAGGCUGGGAGAGGGCAGCGGAAUUCCCGGUGUAGCGGUGAAAUGCGUAGAGAUCGGGAGGAACACCGGCGGCGAAGGCGGCUGCCUGGACCAGUCCUGACGCUGAGGCGGCGAAAGCUAGGGGAGCAAACAGG